GCCCCAGUGGCCUAAUGAACAAGGCCCUGAUCUCUGGUGCCAGGGGUAGUGGGUUCAAGUCCCACCUGGGGUA
rnacentral:tRNA from 1 species